GGCCUUGUGGCGGAGUGGUUUACGCGGAGGACUGCAAAUCCUCGAAGCUUUUGUUCGAACCCAAGGCAAGGCCUCCA
rnacentral:tRNA from 1 species